rnacentral:rRNA from 1 species
GAACGGGUGAGUAACACGUGGGAAACCUACCUCUUAGCAGGGGAUAACAUUUGGAAACAGAUGCUAAUACCGUAUAACAAUGACAACCGCAUGGUUGUUAUUUAAAAGAUGGUUCUGCUAUCACUAAGAGAUGGUCCCGCGGUGCAUUAGCUAGUUGGUAAGGUAAUGGCUUACCAAGGCAAUGAUGCAUAGCCGAGUUGAGAGACUGAUCGGCCACAAUGGGACUGAGACACGGCCCAUACUCCUACGGGAGGCAGCAGUAGGGAAUCUUCCACAAUGGGCGAAAGCCUGAUGGAGCAACGCCGCGUGUGUGAUGAAGGGUUUCGGCUCGUAAAACACUGUUGUAAGAGAAGAAUGACAUUGAGAGUAACUGUUCAAUGUGUGACGGUAUCUUACCAGAAAGGAACGGCUAAAUACGUGCCAGCAGCCGCGGUAAUACGUAUGUUCCAAGCGUUAUCCGGAUUUAUUGGGCGUAAAGCGAGCGCAGACGGUUAUUUAAGUCUGAAGUGAAAGCCCUCAGCUCAACUGAGGAAUUGCUUUGGAAACUGGAUGACUUGAGUGCAGUAGAGGAAAGUGGAACUCCAUGUGUAGCGGUGAAAUGCGUAGAUAUAUGGAAGAACACCAGUGGCGAAGGCGGCUUUCUGGACUGUAACUGACGUUGAGGCUCGAAAGUGUGGGUAACAAACAGGAUUAGAUACCCUGGUAGUCCACACCGUAAACGAUGAGUGCUAGGUGUUUGAGGGUUUCCGCCCUUAAGUGCCGCAG